CCACAAGUGGUGACUGUUCCGAUUAAGGAGGCAGCACAAAGUAUGAUUAAAAUUGAAAAUGAUGAAGAUGCGCUGAAAGAAGACAUGAUUUCAAAGGUUUCUCCAGAGCUCUGGUCGAAGCAUGAGACUGAUGUUGGACUGGUCACGUCAGCCAGUCCUGUACGAGUAGAUUUGAAACCAGUGGCGAUUGCUCUAAGACUGCAAGGGAAGCUUGGCUUCCCUUAAAAUGUCACCCCCCCGAAAAAAAGAAAAAGUGGUGAAAUACGUACGGCUGUGUGUACAUUUCAUUAACUAAAUACGCACUAGAAAGCCUUCAUCUUUUGUUCAGACACUGUGAUAAGAAGCUGAUGAUCACAGGUAACCGGCAUAACUUCAUUCACAUUCAUCCUCGCAGCGCCUCAGCGCUUUAAACAGCCGGACGCUGGGCUUCUGCUGACUUCAAUGUGGAAGCUCAAAGUGGGUUGUUCCAGCAGCGAAACUAGAUGCUCAUUGGAUAAAUGCUGGGCUUUGUCCCGCCCAUCGGAAGCUCAGCUUCACUGGAGUUCUAUGGCGAGAGGGCGGUCCCGACUGUCUCCCGGACUCCGAGCUUCUGCAUCCAUGAUUGGAUGAGCUGUCUGAGGCGAAAUCCUUUUUUGAUUGACAGCUAAACAAGCGAAUCAGUGAUCUUGAAGAAUAAAACAUCUACCAAAGCAUUUUUCAAGUUACUCAUUCCGUUGUUCUUAACUGCUCCAGAGACUUUACCGAUCCUCAGCGACUUUUGUCUUUGUUAAAAACGACUGCCGUUGUGUUUGGCGACUCUGUUCUGUUACAUACUAAUAAACAAAUACAAUUAUGAUGUAGGCCAGAAAAAUGAGCUUCCCCUCCUUGAAAGACCAGCAGCCGCCACUGUCUGAAACCCAAUGUGAAAUUGCCAUAUCGGACGCAAUAUCCUCUGAAGCCACAGGCAGAGGAGGGAAUAAGCAAGACAAUCGAAGGAUUGUUAAAAGCAGGAGUACUGAUUGAGACACAGAGUGUCUGCAACACUCCUAUUUUGCCAGUCUUGAAAGCAGAUAAAUCUAAAUAUCGGCUGGUGCAUGACUUAAGAGCUG